CCUACGGGAGGCAGCAGUGAGGAAUAUUGGUCAAUGGGCGGAAGCCUGAACCAGCCAAGUAGCGUGCAGGAUGACGGCCCUACGGGUUGUAAACUGCUUUUAUACGGGAAUAACGCGCCUUACGUGUAGGUCUUUGCAUGUACCUUAUGAAUAAGGACCGGCUAAUUCCGUGCCAGCAGCCGCGGUAAUACGGAAGGUCCGGGCGUUAUCCGGAUUUAUUGGGUUUAACGGGAGCGUAGGCCGGAUGUCAAGCGCGCUGUGAAAUGUGCGGGCUCAACCCGGGCCUUGCAGCGCGCACUGGCGUGCUUGAGUCCGCGGAAGGCAGGCGGAAUUCGUGGUGUAGCGGUGAAAUGCUUAGAUAUGACGAAGAACCCCGAUUGCGAAGGCAGCUUGCUGCAGCGGAACUGACGCUGAUGCUCGAAAGCGCGGGUAUCGAACAGGAUUAGAUACCCCAGUAGUC
rnacentral:rRNA from 1 species